AUGGCGGGCCCGUCGUGGCUACUCCUGCUCUGUCUCGCCGGCGGCGUGCUUCAUGCCGGUGGCCAGAGAGCGCCCGACACCACGGGUUUCGUCAGCGUCGACUGCGGCCUCUCGGAGCACAGCGGCUACGUGGACGACGCCACCAAGCUGCCCUACAGCUCGGACGCCGGCCAGAACUACAACGUCUCGGCACAGUACAACGACCAGGCGUUCCUCAGACGGCACCGGCAGCUCCUCACCGUCCGCUACAGGUCUUGGAGGAAACACAGGACCGCCUCUUCUUCCUCGGUGUCAACAAAGCCGAGUAUUGGCCUUCCUAUCUCUCCUGGCGUGCUCCAUGCUAAAGAUUUCGCUCCGGCGGUCGCUAAAGUGGGGAACAGGGUGCUCCCUUGGAGAGGCAGAUAUAAUACCAAUGCUGGCAAAGUUGCUCUAAUUAACUCCUGCUUAUCCUCUCUCCUCAUGUUUCUUAUGGGCUUCUAUCUUCUUAUAUGGAUGGCGUGCAUGCUGGCUUCGACAAACAUAGGGGAGCCUUCUACUGGAAUUCCGCGGAUAACAAACGGAAAUAUAGGCUGGUCAAGUGGUAGCAUAUGUGCUAAAUACUUCCCACAUUCCAACCCGCUGUUUGCCAUCGCGAGGCGCGGCUCUCAAUUUUGGAAAUCCCUUGUCAAAGUCAGACCUAUUUUCCUGGAACAUGUUAAAUUUAAUGUUGGUAAUGGGAUGGCAGUCCGCUUUUGGUUGGACUGGUGGUCGGGGGAUGCCCCCCUUGCUGAGAGUUUUCCGGUUUUGUUCUCUUACUGUCCUAAUCCAGGUAUCUCCAUCGCGGAGGUGGCGACUAAUAACUGGGAUCUGGUCUUUCGUCGGGCCCUGUCUCCUGAAGAGUUGGAAGAUUGGCAAAGUCUCGCUGCCCUCUUCCCCGUGCUCUCGGAGUCGGCCAUUCUGUAG
rnacentral:rRNA from 1 species